rnacentral:rRNA from 1 species
AUGCCGCCGCCAGAGAACGCGCGCCUCUUCCAGCACUACACCCGCCACGCCGGCUGCUCCUGCCUCUGCGCCUGCCUCUACCUCCCCGUCGAGGUCCUCUCCCUCGCCAUCCUACUCGCCGCCGCCGUCGGGGUCGUCUACCUCGCCUUCAAGCCCAGGCAGCCGGCGUACUCGGUCGUAUCCCUCGCAGUGUCGGGCCUCGCCGGCGUCAGCAACGCCUCGGCCCCCGGCCCGCUCUCGCCGGGGUUCGCCGCGACCGUCCACGCCGACAACAGCGCCAAAGGCAAGGUCGGCGUGCACUACAACGGCGCCGGGAGCCGCAUCGCCGUGUCGUACGAGGGCGUGAGCCUGGCGGACGGCGCGUGGCCGGCCUUCUACCAGGCGCCAUGCAACAUCACGGUGUUCAUGGCGAAGGCCAAGGGCACCGGGAUACGGUUCUCGGAGCGCGAGCGCGGGCAGAUGGCCGCGGCGGAGCGGCUCCGAUCGGUGCCGUUCGACGUGGACAUCACGGUGCCCGUGCGGCUGCAGCUCGGCGGCGUGAGGACGUGGGCCGUGCCGGUGACGGUUCGGUGCGCCAUGACGGUGGACAGGCUCGCCGCCAGCGCCAAGGUGGUGUCCAGGCCGUGCGACGUCAAUGUGCCGUUCUUGUUCCGUUCUGGAGGAACUGACGCCGCCGAUGCAAGAAAAAAUGGUUACUGGCUGAUUAGGAGAGCAGUUCUUGCAGGUAGCGGCCAAGGAUUCAUGCUGCUUCCGUGA